rnacentral:pre_miRNA from 1 species
UUUCGGCUGGUUUGUAGGCAGUGUCUCGUUAGCUGGUUGGGUCGUCAGGUGCCAGCUUACCUGCUGCUGCCCUCAAACUGUCUGAGAA